AACGAACGCUGGCGGCAUGCCUAACACAUGCAAGUCGAACGAGACCUUCGGGUCUAGUGCCGCACGGGUGCGUAACGCGUGGGAACCUGCCUUUAGGUUCGGAAUAACUCAGAGAAAUUUAAGCUAAUACCGGAUGAUGUCUUCGGACCAAAGAUUUAUCGCCUUUAGAUGGGCCCGCGUUGGAUUAGCUAGUUGGUGGGGUAAAGGCCUACCAAGGCGACGAUCCAUAGCUGGUCUGAGAGGAUGAUCAGCCACACUGGGACUGAGACACGGCCCAGACUCCUACGGGAGGCAGCAGUGGGGAAUAUUGGACAAUGGGCGAAAGCCUGAUCCAGCAAUGCCGCGUGAGUGAUGAAGGCCUUAGGGUUGUAAAGCUCUUUUACCCGAGAUGAUAAUGACAGUAUCGGGAGAAUAAGCUCCGGCUAACUCCGUG
rnacentral:rRNA from 1 species